rnacentral:rRNA from 1 species
CUACGGGAGGCAGCAGUGAGGAAUAUUGCACAAUGGGGGGAACCCUGAUGCAGCAACGCCGCGUGGAGGAUGACGCAUUUCGGUGUGUAAACUCCUUUUAUAUGUCAAGAAAAUGACGGUAGCAUAUGAAUAAGCACCGGCUAACUCCGUGCCAGCAGCCGCAGGUAAUACGGAGGGUGCAAGCGUUACUCGGAAUCACUGGGCGUAAAGGACGCGUAGGCGGGUUGGAAAGUCAGGUGUGAAAUCCUACAGCUUAACUGUAGAACUGCACUUGAAACUUCUGAUCUAGAGUAUGGGAGGGGGAGAUGGAAUUAGUGGUGUAGGGGUAAAAUCCGUAGAUAUCACUAGGAAUACCUAAAGCGAAGGCGAUCUCCUGGAACAUUACUGACGCUAAGGCGUGAAAGCGUGGGGAGCAAACAGGAUUAGAUACCCUGGUAGUC